GAAAUGCGAUAACUAAUGUGAAUUGCAGAAUUCAGUGAAUCAUCGAGUCUUUGAACGCACAUUGCGCCCCCUGGUAUUCCGGGGGGCAUGCCUGUCCGAGCGUCAUUGCUGCCCUCAAGCCCGGCUUGUGUGUUGGGCCCUCGUCCCCCGGCUCCCGGGGGACGGGCCCGAAAGGCAGCGGCGGCACCGCGUCCGGUCCUCGAGCGUAUGGGGCUUCGUCUUCCGCUCCGUAGGCCCGGCCGGCGCCCGCCGACGCAUUUAUUUGCAACUUGUUUUUUUCCAGGUUGACCUCGGAUCAGGUAGGGAUAUCCGCUGAACUUAAGC
rnacentral:misc_RNA from 1 species